UACAGAGGUCUCAAGCGUUGUUCGGAUUCAUUGGGCGUAAAGGGUGCGUAGGCGGCGCGGUAAGUCGGAUGUGAAAUCUCGGGGCUUAACUCCGAAACUGCAUUCGAUACUGCCGUGCUUGAGGACUGGAGAGGAGACUGGAAUUUACGUUGUAGCGGUGAAAUGCGUAGAUAUCGUAAGGAAGACCAGUGGCGAAGGCGGGUCUCUGGACAGUUCCUGACGCUGAGGCACGAAGGCCAGGGGAGCAAACGGG
rnacentral:rRNA from 1 species